AAGUCGUAACAAGGUCUCCGUUGGUGAACCAGCGGAGGGAUCAUUACGAGAGUGUCACCACUCCCAACCCAUUGUUUACCUACCCGUCCACCGUGCUUCGGCAGGCAGUCCUGUGGGACAGGGCCUCGCCCCCCUCCCGGGGGGUGCCUGCCGCUGGCCAACCAACCAUUCUUGCUGUUUUUGUACCAUCUGAGUCUUCCACAAAUAAACAAAACUUUCAACAACGGAUCUCUUGGUUCUG
rnacentral:misc_RNA from 1 species